rnacentral:rRNA from 1 species
UACGUAGGGGGCAAGCGUUAUCCGGAUUUACUGGGUGUAAAGGGAGCGUAGACGGUAUGGCAAGUCUGAUGUGAAAACCCGAGGCUCAACCACGGGAGUGCAUUGGAAACUGGCGGGCUGGAGUGCCGGAGAGGUAAGCGGAAUUCCUAGUGUAGCGGUGAAAUGCGUAGAUAUUAGGAGGAACACCAGUGGCGAAGGCGGCUUACUGGACGGCAACUGACGCUGAGGCUCGAAAGCGUGGGGAGCAAACAGG